rnacentral:lncRNA from 1 species
CAGAGGAAUUACUGUUUAUACUCAUUGCUUACGUUUGCCAUUUUACAGAACACUACCUACUGUAAUGUUUCCGAUUGACAAUUUUCUAGGCUUUUUCAGUAUCUUGUAUUUUUCUUUCUUCAAAAAAUUUUUCUUAAAAAGUGUUCCUCUCUCAAACACUCUUUAUACUUUUAACCUUCCCUCUCAAUCAUGCUUUAUAAUUUUUUUGCCUAAGCUUUCCAAAAUAACAAACAAUAAAUAAAAGAUAAACUCAUUCACUCUGUCCUUCAUGAAAUACUUAAUGAUUCUCUAAAUUAUCAUUAUAUGAUCUUGAGAUCAUAUAUAUAAUCUAAGAACAUAUCACUUGUAUCCAACAUGUUUAGAGAUACACAGCAUAUGCUGCUAUUUUAAAAUUGGAUAUUUCCUUAUUUUACACUAUGGUCAAGAAUUUGUUUUAAUACAGAGCUUUCCUUCUGUGAGACAAUAUUUUCAUCAAAGAUACAUACACAAGGAAAAUAUCCAAGCACCUAUUUGCCACAUUAUUUAUAAAAUAGGUAAUUCAAGAAUGUUUUCUAAGGCUCAAGGGAAGAGUUCUCAUUCAUCACCCUCAAGAAAUCUUGUCCAUUGUACAGAAUGUAAAAUGAUUUUCCUACCUCGCUAACAAGAACAAACAUUUACUGAGAACUUAGUAUUUACCAAUUAAUGUUGUAAGUAAUUAACAUAGAGUAAUCCAGAAAGGAACUGUUAUACUACUUUUAAAGAUGAGGAAACUAAGGUACAAAGUGUAUAGAAUAAUUGCUCACGUUAGAAGUGGAGGACCCAGUAUUUUUGCCCUAACUGGCCUGGAUUCAUAAUUACUUCACUAUUAUCAAAUAAUUAUCAAGAGGAAAGACAUGAACAUAAUAUUUCUUUUAUUUUAUGAUUUUACCCAUGUGAAUUAAUUUAUCUGUAAUCCAAGGGGCAGGUAAAAAGAAAAAACACAUUUAAGGACUCUACCUAAGUCAUGAGGCAGAUAUAAGAGAUUACUUAUAUGCAUGACUGAUUUUAAUCCUUAAAAUAAUAACAUUAUAACCCGUAUUCAUGAGGCUCUGAGUGGUAUUCACUCUGGAGUGAAAGUAAAUGUGAAGUAAAUGUGUAUACAAAAAUGUAUUUAAUCCCUCCAUUAACCUAUGUGAAUAAUAAAUAACAUUAUAGUUUGAGGACCAGGUGGCCUGUGCCAUUGCAUUGUCUAAUACCUCAAGGCUGCUCACUUUAAAAUCUCUAAAUAAGAGUUGAUAAUGAGUUUUACAACUAAUCAGAAAAAGAUUACUAAACUGUAGGAAACCAUAAUAUUGAUUUUAUGGUUUGCAUACCCCCUUUUAUGGAAUUCAACUCAUAAUUUGUUAAUAUAUUAAUAUUUCAAAAGCCUCAGCAAGAAAAUAGCAAAUAACUAUACUAAUGCAUUUAUAUCCUUUGGCAAGCAUGUUAAAUUCUAAUCAGUUUAAAUUUUUAUUGCAGACUCAUUUCAAGAUAUAAAUUUUAGUCUUCACAAGUUUCAAGGUUUUAGAAACUCACAAACUAAUUAAAUAUUGUUUAUACAACAAUUUCUAUUUCUUUUUUCCACACUAUACAAUUAUGGAACAAAUAUUUACAAUACCCAAGAGUUAUAAUUCCAAUUUGUUAUACUAAAAUUUUGUUGUUGUUGUUUAAUAUAACUUCAACAUAUAAUGAUGAAAAAUAUAUAUUUGGGAUUCAAAAGAUGUUAUGAUAAAAAUAGAUCUAAAACAUUGUUGCUACAUAUAACUAUACAAAUCAGUAUAAAUAUUUCAGUCAUGUUUAUUACAGCAAUUAAUGGUUUUAUAUACAUAUAACCACUAUAAUCACAAUUUCCCACACCAUGAUAUCACUAUAUUUUUACAAAAAAAAAUCCCUAUUUAAGAAAUGUCCAACUUCUUACCAGAUAGAUCAAAAAUAUACUUUGAGGCUUGAGGAAGGCAGUCUCAAACAAAAUUGGGAAAAUUAUCAGUAAAAUAUUAAAAUAUUUUUUAAUUUGUUCCUCAUGCAUUAAGAUUAUAAUUUCUAAAAUAUGCAUGUUGUUAAUUAUUUAUGUGACUUUGUUUCAUUGAGAGUUCCGUAGGUAAAAUAUUUGUUGUUCCUAAAGUUAUGUGGCUAAGGUAUAUAACUAGAAUUAACAAAUACUGACCAAAGGUAACACUUUAAUACAUGCCAGAAUGUUAGAGAAGUACUUUUCCUUGAGUUGAUAAGCUAAACAUGGAAGUUAUAAAUUCAUAGUAGCCGGGUGGUGAGCUGGGACUGGCAUUUUUCAGCCCAUGAGGAACAGUGGCAGGAUUUAUACAAAUUUUUGUGAGAAGUUUGCCAAUCACUACCAUCAUGAAAAAGUAAAAUUUGAAAAUAUGACAUUAAAAGUAUUUUACAAAAAGAUAAACAUAUCAAAUAUGCAAUAUUUCCUAUUUAUUAUACUUUACUAUUUUAUAUGAUUUUAAGAGUACUCAUGACUUUUGUUCCUGUUUGAUAAAAAUAUUAUAUAUAUAGUGGUGUGCUACAGCACAUCUCUGCAAAAGGCUGCAUUCAGUGAUAUCUUAAAAUUUAAUAGGACACAGAAAUUAGAAAACAUUAUAAAUCAGGGCUUUAUUUUUUUACUUUUCUAGAUUUAAUUCAGUAAUGGAUGAAAUAUUAAUGCAGAUAAUACUAAAUUAUAUCAUACAUAGAUCUUACUUUCUGAAUAGCUCAAAAAUUGAGGAUUUUUAUUUAUUUAUUUAUUUUUUGUAUUCAGAGAAUACUGUAAGAUGUAACAAAUAAGCCAUUCACAUGACUCUGGCAGAAGUUCUGACAUGCGUUUUCAUACUUUCACUUUCAUCUUACUAAUGUAAAUGAAAAUAUCAACCAACAUUUCCAAUGGAACUGAAUUAUUUCUUCAAUUACAACCAUCCUUUGGCUACAGAUACAAGAGCUAGGCAAAAAUCAAUUAAAAAAAAACCUUUUAUGAGUAUCAUUGGACUACAUGGAAUCUAUAAUAAGCAGGAUUGUGCAUUAUUUGUAAAAUGGGUAUGACAUAGCCUAUUGAUAAGUAAAAUGUAUAAUACAUCUAUGUAUAUAUAUACAUGCGGACUUUCUUUUCCAGAGAACCAGUGGUUAAACAUUACUAUAACAUCACUGGAUAUACGCCUCUACAUAUUCUAGCUGUUGAUUUAUUCCUUCCAAAAUCCUAAGAAACCAGUUUCUCUGGGCCCUAGGAAUGUAAGGACAUAAGAAAUACCAGGUCUCUUGAUUAUCUGGCUGACCAGGAAUUUUUUGGUAUUCCUACGGGCCCAUUAUACCAAAAAAUUCUGGGCCCAUUAUACCAAAAAAUUCUGAGAACGCAGGUGGUUACUAAGAGUCCACCAACUUUACCUGUAUUAUCAUCAUUAGAAAGGUUAAACUCUUUUGCUUAGGUUUUUCAAGACAGAAAUCAGAAACUAGCUCUUUAUUUCAAUAGAAAAUGAAUCACAUGUUAAAUACACCAAGUAAUCUACAAAAUCUUUCUCACUGAGCUUGAGACCAAUAUAAAACACAUUACAUAUAUUUCAAAUAAUUCAACCUGAACAGUAAUGAGGUAUUAUAGCAUUUUCUGUCAGUAGAAACCUCCUAGAGCCAUUAACUAGUAAUGUAUUGUUUUAUCAUAAAAGAAAGAAUAAACUGCAUGAAGCAGGUUUUGUAGAUAAAGACAAAGCAUCAUUUCCAGAAAAUUGGUAUUAUAAAAUCAUUUGUAGAUGACAUAUCAAACUUUAUGAUUUUUAAUGUAACUGCAAUCUACUGGACACGUAUUGUGUCCUGCCUACUACAUUACACAAAUCAUAGCAACUCUAAGAGUCAUUAUUCUCAUAUGUAGAUAUAUGGCAAUAUAUUUAAGUAAACAGACACAAAGAAUGUUUCAAGAUCAUAUAGCAAGUAAGAAGUGGGAACUAAGAUUUUGAGUCCAGUUUUGUCAAAAUUUCGAGAUAAUGUGAACAAAGAUUAGAGUUUAUAUAUACAUGUAAACAUUUUAAAAGGAAACAGCAAAAUAAAUCUUUGAAGCAAAAUAUUUUAUGAAAGUAACUCAAUUCUUCUCCAUUGAAUUUCCUGUCCAGAGAGUGGGUUAUGUAGAAACAUACAUAAACACAAAGACACAGGAUAACCCAAACAUAGAUUUUUUUCUUAAAGAGCUAAAAAUAACCUUACAGUUUUUCAAUUAAGCUCUCUCAUCUUACAGAUUAAUAAGUAAAGCACAAAAAAGGAAGAAUCUGGCCUUAGCUCUAAUUAGCAGAACUAGAAACUCUGGCUCUUAUUUUUUAAGCUUAUCUUAUAAAAAUUGUGACAUUAAUGUAAUAUUUAGUCAAGUCAAUAGACUUUUCAGUUAAAUAUCAGGAAAAAAUAAUUGUAAUAUAAUGACCUAACUUCUCCUGUUGAAAUAUGUUUAUAUUUCAUUUUUAAUAUGGUAAAAUCCAGUCUUUUUCCAAAGGUACAUAAUAAAAUUCAAAAUCUAUCCUCCAAAUAUAUUUUUCACAAUCUGUGUAAAAACACCGCGAAUAUGAACUGGGAUAUUUUAUUUUGAAUUAUCUUCGAAGGAUGUUAGAAGACAAAUUUACAGAUUAUGGUAAUUCCUUUGUAUGAAAACUCAGGCUAAUGACUAGAAUUUGGAUAGUAAAAAAGUUGAAUUACACAACUGAGUUAGAAAUGGCCACUUAGGCUUCUUAGUCUGUCUCUCUGAAAGCAACAGACCCAAUUUAAUCAAACAGUAUGAAAAGAAUGACAGAUGAAAAGCACAUCAAUCUCAGCAGAUCUGGCAUGACUUGAAAGACAAAAUCUAUCACAGUGAAUUAAAAGCACAAUGUGAAAGGGAAACAGACAGACUUGAUUUACAUGUCCACUCCAACAGAGCAAAGAUAACGACUGCAGAAGUCAUCUACUGGAAGCACACUUCAGCUGCAGAGGAAGCAUAUCAGGCUAGCAUAGCCCCCAGACGACAAAGCAACAGAAAUCCUACAUCUAACUUGCUGCCAUUUGCCAAAUCAUUUAGACUUUAGAACAACUGCAAAAUACUUAAUUUAAUGGAAAGUUUAGAUAUGGCACUUUUAAGUGUUUUUUUGACUUUGUGGGUAUCUUAAAAUCCCAUUAGAAAAUUACUGAAAAGUUACUAAAGUGUUAGAGAAAGGACACAUUAAAUAUCUAUGUGUCCAAUUUAGCUCUAAUUUGAAUCUCUGUAAUGCUGGUAAAGUAUCAUUCAUUAUCUUAGACACAGCACCUUAUUUUUAGAUAGUCAUCAUACAUUAAAAAACAGGAAGUAGUGUAAACCAAUUCCAUCGUUUUCCCACACUUUGAGUAUACUCAAUAUUAAAAGUUGUACAAAUUCAGUAUAUACAGUUUGAUAAGUCUGGACGUUGCAUACAUCCUUGACACCAUUAUCACAAAUAAGGUAAUAAAGGUAUCUAUCACCUUCAAAAUAUUUUUUUGUAUUCAUUUGUGUGUGUGUAUUAAGAACAGUUUGCAUGAGGAUUUAUAUUCUUGACAAGCAUUUAAAUGCACAUCAUAUUAAAGUUGUAUAGAUCUCUAGAACUUACUCACUUUUGUAACUACAAAUUUAUAACCACUGAGAAACAAUUCUCUGUAACUCCUCCCCUUAUUCCCUAACAAUCACCAUUCUCUUCUCUGCCUCUCUGAGUUUUAACUAUUUAGAUAGUUCCAAUAAGAAUCACGCAGUAUUUGUCACUUAGCAUAAUGUCUUCUAGAUCCAUUUAUGGUGUCCCAAGUAGUAGGAUUUCUUUCCUUCUAAAAUCUGAGUAAUAAUCCAUUAUAUGCAUAUGCCACAUUUUCUUUAUUUAUUGGUCAAAGGACAUUUGUGUUGUUUUCUACCUUGGCUAUUGGGAAGAAUGCCGAGAUAAACAUAAGUGUGCACAACUCUCUUCAAAAUUCUGAUUUAAAUUUUUUGGAUAUAUACCCAGCAGUAGUAUUUUUCGACCAUAUGGCAGUUUUACAAUUUUCUGAAGAAAUGCUAUACUGUUUUCCAUGAAAGCCAUACCAUUUCACAUUCUCUCCAACCAUGUAUAAAGGUUCAAAUUUCCUUAAAUCCUCACCAGCAACCACCACUUUUAAUAGCCUUUCAGUUAUGAGGUCAUAUCUCAUUGUGUUUUUUUAUUUGCCUUACCUUGAUGAUUAAUGUGAGUUGUAGGAGUUCCCUAUCUACCGAGUUGUAGAAAUUUCUUAUCCCACAUGUGCUUGACAAAGAUUAUCUUCCAUUUCUGCAUUAUCAUUUCAUUCUGUUGCUUCCCCUGUUGUGAAAUUAAACCCACAUUUCUGAACAACCAAUGGGCCAAGGAAGAAAUCAAAAAGAAAAUAAAAAAAAAAAAGAGACAAAUGAAAUGAAAAUACAACAUACC